GCAAACGGACCCAACUACUUGCCACCGUUGCCACCAGUUCGCAACCAGUUCACCAUCGUCGGCUAUACGGGCAUCGGUGAAAAUAAAUACUAUAUCACUGCAAAGGGUUGUUCAAAGUGGGUCGCAAAGGGUGUGAUAUAAUUAUCACCAAGGACAAAGGUGUUUCUUGGGUACAUGCAGAAAUAUUUGUUGAGGAGACGACUUCUGCUAAUCCCCUGAAGACUUCUAGUUUGUCCAACAAAGUUCAAAUUAAAGAUUGCUCAAAGUACGGAACAUUUAUUAAUAAGAGCCUUGGGUCAAUGGAGAAAUUCCAUGAGUUCCCACGAAAAGAAACAAGUCUAACAGAUGGGAACCUGAUUUCAUUUGGAACUGGUAA